GACGAACGCUGGCGGCGUGCAUCACACAUGCAAGUGGAGCGACGAACCGGGCUUCGGCCCGGGGCAGAGCCGCGAACGGGUGAGUAACACGUGGGUUACCUGCCUCGAUGACCGGGACAACCCGAGGAAACUCGGGCUAAUACCGGAUGUGCCCGCAAGGGGAAAGGAAGCUUCGGCCUCCGCAUCGAGAUGGGCCCGCGGCCCAUUAGCUUGUUGGUGAGGUAACGGCUCACCAAGGCUUCGAUGGGUAGCUGGUCUGAGAGGACGAUCAGCCACA
rnacentral:rRNA from 1 species